rnacentral:sRNA from 1 species
GCAGAAAGCUGGCGGGGGGGUGGGGGGGAGGAACAUGGCGCAAGCUCUGUCUGAGGAGGAGUUUCAGCGGAUGCAGGCUCAGCUCCUGGAACUCCGGACAAACAACUACCAGCUUUCAGAUGAACUACGCAAGAAUGGUGUUGAACUCACCAGUCUUCGACAGAAGGUCGCCUACUUGGAUAAGGAGUUCAGCAAAGCUCAGAAGGCACUGAGCAAGAGCAAGAAAGCUCAGGAAGUCGAGGUAUUGCUGAGUGAAAACGAGAUGCUGCAGGCAAAGCUGCACAGCCAGGAGGAGGACUUCCGUUUGCAGAACAGCACGCUAAUGGCCGAGUUCAGCAAGGAGCGCUAUGGGAAAGAAGCCGGGAAGUUCUCAGCUGUCAGUGAGGGCCAGGGGGACCCCCCAGGGGGCCCUGCCCCCACCGUCCUGGCCCCCAUGCCGUUGGCAGAGGUGGAGCUGAAAUGGGAAAUGGAGAAAGAGGAGAAGAGAUUGCUCUGGGAACAGCUGCAAGACUUAGAGAGCUCAAAGCAGGCUGAAACAUCCAGGCUGCAAGAGGAACUUGCUAAGCUCUCCGAGAAACUGAAAAAGAAACAAGAAAGUUUUUGCCGUCUGCAGACAGAAAAGGAGACUCUAUUUAAUGACAGCAGGAACAAGAUUGAGGAAUUACAACAACGGAAGGAAGCUGAUCACAAAGCCCAGUUGGCUCGAACCCAGAAGCUGCAGCAGGAACUUGAGGCUGCCAAUCAGAGCUUGGCAGAGCUGAGAGAUCAGUGGCAGGGGGAGCGCCUGGAACAUGCAGCCGCUUUGCGGGCCCUACAAGAUCAGGUAUCCAUCCAGAGUGCAGAUGCACAGGAGCAAGUGGAAGGGCUUUUGGCUGAGAAUAAUGCCUUGAGGACUAGCCUGGCUGCCCUGGAGCAGAUCCAAACAGCAAAGACCCAAGAACUGAAUAUGCUCCGGGAACAGACCACUGGGCUGGCAGCUGAGUUGCAGCAGCGGCAGGCUGAGUACGAGGACCUUAUGGGACAGAAAGAUGACCUCAACUCCCAGCUCCAGGAGUCAUUACGGGCCAAUAGUCGGCUGCUGGAACAACUUCAAGAAAUAGGGCAGGAGAAGGAGCAGUUGACCCAGGAAUUACAGGAGGCUCGGAAGAGUGCUGAGAAGCGGAAGGCCAUGCUGGAUGAGCUAGCAAUGGAAACGCUGCAAGAGAAGUCCCAGCACAAGGAAGAGCUGGGAGCAGUUCGUCUACGGCAUGAGAAGGAGGUGCUGGGGGUGCGUGCCCGCUAUGAGCGUGAGCUCCGAGAGCUGCAUGAAGACAAGAAGCGUCAGGAGGAGGAGCUCCGUGGGCAGAUCCGGGAGGAGAAGGCCCGGACACGGGAGCUGGAGACUCUUCAGCAGACAGUGGAAGAACUUCAAGCUCAGGUACACUCCAUGGAUGGAGCCAAGGGCUGGUUUGAACGGCGCUUGAAGGAAGCCGAGGGCAAGGAAGAGGAGCUACAGGAUGUGCGGGAUCAGCUCCAGCAGGCCCAGGAGGAGCGGGACUGCCACCUGAAGACCAUUAGCAGCCUGAAGCAGGAGGUGAAGGACACAGUGGAUGGGCAGAGGAUCCUGGAGAAGAAGGGCAGUGCUGCGCUCAAGGACCUCAAGCGGCAACUGCAUUUGGAGCGGAAACGAGCAGAUAAGCUGCAGGAGCGGCUGCAGGACAUCCUCACUAACAGCAAGAGCCGCUCAGGCCUUGAGGAGCUGGUUCUCUCAGAGAUGAACUCACCAAGCCGGACCCAGACAGGAGACAGCAGUAGCAUCUCCUCCUUCAGCUACCGGGAGAUCUUGCGGGAAAAGGAGAGCUCGGCUGUUCCAGCCAGGGUAAGGGGAAAGGAAGAACCUACAGCUCCAGCUUCUCUCAACCCAAAAAUCUGAGAACCCCUCCCCUUUUCUCCUCACCUAAAUCUAUCUCCUACUUUGGGCACAGCACACAUAUUUUCUUGUCAACUUUUCCCCAAGCCCACCAACUUGGAUUCAGAUUGCUACAUGCAGGACGGGCCAAUCAUUCUCUCUCUCUCUCUGACUUUCUGUUUCAUCAUCUGUGGGCUAAUUCCCCCUUCUCUGGUGCCAUAAAGUAUGUGGCUCAUAGUAGGUACACCAUCCAAGGAGAAGGUCCCUUUUUCCAACUUGUAAUGAUCACUAAUUAUUAUUGCCGGCUGUCAUGUCAGCCUCCUUACCAGCCACUUUCCUUUGGAAAUAACUUUUUUAUUGUUCCACAAAUAGUUUGUGCGCAUUGUAGUACAUUUUUUAAAAACCACAAAUGAGCAAAGAUUUUUUUAAAACCUUAAAUGUCUGGCCGGGUGUGGUGGCUCAUCCCUAUAAUCCUAGCACUUUGGGAGGCCAAGGUGGGCGGAUCACUUGAGCUCAGGAGUUUAAGACCAGCCUGGGAAACAUGGUGAAACUCCGACUCUAUUUAAAACAAAAACAAAAACAAAAAAACCUUAAAUGUCAAAAAAAUAAUAUUUUCACCAUCCAAAAGUCACCAUUAUAAAUUCUUAGUUCAGGGCUGGGCGCGGUGGCUCAUGCCUGUAACCCCAGCACUUUGGGAGGCUGAGGUGGGCAGAUCACUUGAGGUUAGGAGUUUAAGAACUGGCCUGGCCAACAUAGCAAAACCUCGUCUCUACUAAAAUACAAAAAUUAGCCAGGCGUGGUGGUGCGUGCCUGUAGUCCCAGCUACUUGAAAGGUUGAGGCAAGAGAAUCGCUUGAACCUGGGAGGUAGAGGUUGCAAUGAGCCGAGAUCACACCACUGCACUCUAGCCUGGGCAACAGUGAGACUCCAUCUCAAAAAAUAAAUAAAUAAAAUAAAUUCUUAGUUCAUACCCUUCCAGAAUUCUCUCUCUUUUUAAAACCUAGAUGAGAUUAACCUGUUUUUAUUCAACUGUUUUCUCUACCUUCCCAAUUUGAUACAUUUUCAUGUCAUUGACUGAGUGCGGUGGCUCCUGCCUAUAAUCCCAGUACUUUGGGAGGCCGAGGCGGGCAGAUCACUUGAGGUCAGGAGUUCAAGACCAGCCUGGCCAACAUGGUGAAACCCCGUCUCUACUAAAAAUACAAAAAUUAGCUGGGCGUAGUGGCACGUGCCUGUAAUUCCAGCUACUCGGGAGGCUGAGGCAGGAGAAUCACUUGAUCCCGGGAGUUGGAGGUUGCAGUGAGCCAAGAUCUUGCCAUUGCACUCCAGCCUGGGCAACAAGAGCGAAAUUCUGUCUCAAAAAAUAAAUAAAUAAAUAAAUAAAUAAAAUAAA